rnacentral:sRNA from 2 species
UGUAUCUGAAGUCUGACGAGGAUGAGAACCUCCGGGGGCAAGAGGUUCGAAUCGAGCGAAGCGAGAGAACGUUGCGUCAGCAACGGCCCGCAGGGCGAGCCACGCAGUGGCGAGUCAUCCUCUAUCACCGACCA